rnacentral:ncRNA from 2 species
GGGAUAAGGGCGUCAUCAGGUGCCCUCUUUGGGGGAGAAUCGGGAAGCCGGUGCAAGUCCGGCGCGGGCCCGCCGCUGUAUCGGGGAUCGUCAGGCAGAAGCCACUGGGAGGCAAUACCCGGGAAGGCGCCAUGACGAGAGGAUCCGGAGCCAGAAGACCGGCCUGGUGUCAUUGCGCUGC